UACGUAGGGAGCGAGCGUUGUCCGAAGUUACUGGGCGUAAAGCGCGCGUAGGCGGGUUUGAAAAGUCGGAGGUGAAAUGCUGGGGCUCAACUCCAUGCAGUGCCUCCGAUACUUCAAAGUCUUGAGUGCGGUAGGGAGAAGUGGAAUGGCUGGUGUAGCGGUGAAAUGCAUAGAUACACCCAGAACUCGACUUGCGAAGGCCAGCCUAUGGAGGUCAACCCGACGCUCAGGGCACGAAAGCGUGGGGAUCAAACAGG
rnacentral:rRNA from 1 species